rnacentral:rRNA from 1 species
UCGUGUCGUGAGAUGUUGGGUUAAGUCCCGCAACGAGCGCAACCCUUGUCUUUAGUUGCCAGCACGUAAAGGUGGGAACUCUAGGGAGACUGCCGGUGACAAACCGGAGGAAGGUGGGGAUGACGUCAGGUCAUCAUGGCCCUUACGGCCAGGGCUACACACGUGCUACAAUGGCGCGCACAGAGGGCUGCAAACUCGCGAGGGUAAGCCAAUCUCUUAAAACGCGUCGUAGUCCGGAUCGCAGUCUGCAACCCGACUGCGUGAAGUCGGAAUCGCUAGUAAUCGCGAAUCAGAAUGUCGCGGUGAAUACGUUCCCGGGUCUUGUACACACCGAA